rnacentral:rRNA from 1 species
GAUGAACGCUGGCGGUAUGCUUAACACAUGCAAGUCGAACGGUCACUUCGGUGAUAGUGGCGGACGGGUGAGUAACGCGUGAGAAUCUGUCUUCAGGUCGGGGACAACAGUUAGAAAUGACUGCUAAUACCGGAUGUGCCUUUGGGUGAAAGAUUUAUUGCCUGAAAAAGAGCUCGCGUCAGAUUAGCUAGUAGGCGGUGUAAGAGACUACCUAGGCUCCGAUCUGUAGCUGGUCUGAGAGGACGAUCAGCCACACUGGAACUGAGACACGGUCCAGACUCCUACGGGAGGCAGCAGUGGGGAAUUUUCCGCAAUGGGCGAAAGCCUGACGGAGCAAUACCGCGUGAGGGACGAAGGCUUUUGGGUCGUAAACCUCUUUUCUCAAGGAAGAUGAUGACGGUACUUGAGGAAUAAGCAUCGGCUAACUCUGUG